CGGCGGUGGCGUCAAAGGCUUACGGGCGUGAGCCUGGCUGGAGCCGCCGUCGGUGCAAAUCUUGGUGGUAGUAGCAAAUACUCAACCGAAAACCUUGAGGAGUGAAGUGGAGAAGGGUUCCUUGUGAACAGCAGUUGAACUUGGGUCAGUCGAUCCUAAGGUAUCGGCGAAAGCCGUUCAGAAGCGGUGUGGAUAGCUGUUUCCGCACCUGGUUGGUGUUUUGGCCAAGGUUAAACCUUUGAUCACCGCACCUACCGAAAGGGAAUCGGGUUAAUAUUCCCGAACCCGGCAUCGGAUACGUCGUUGGUCGCGUUUAAUCGCGGGGCCUCGACAAAUGCGGUAACGCAAAUGAACUCGGAAACGCUGACACGUGCCCUGGAAAGAGUUGUCUUUUCUUCAUAAGGCUCAGGCUCCCUGGAAUCGGAUCAUCCGGCGAUAGGGAGAUGGAGUCCGUAGAGCACCGCGGUUCUUGCGGUGUCCGGUGCGCACGUGUCGGUCCUUGAAACUCCGAGGGAGAGUGUGAUUUUCGUGCCGGAUCGUACCCAUAUCCGCAGCAGGUCUCC
rnacentral:rRNA from 1 species